AAACUAUGAACUACAAAACCCAAAAGGAUUCACCAACUACUAGACCUAGGCUCUGAUACCACUUGAAGGGAUAUUUUGUGAAAACAUGUUCAUUUAAGCAACAUCAAUAAGCAUGCAAUUAACAAUUAAAGGCGGAAUCAUGCUAGCAUGCACUUAAAAACAAAACAUUAACCAUGAAAUUCAAAGCCUAGUAGAUUGGUGAACCAUUAAUCAACUCAAAACAAAGUGAGUUGAGA
rnacentral:lncRNA from 1 species